GCCCCUUGGUGCCGUUUCCAUGGAUACGAGCAGGCCUUGCAGUACUGAGCCGAGCCUGCAGCUCCCGCCCUCUGGUUUAUGGCACGGAUGGUGCAAUCUUCUCAGCUCCUGAAAGACAUGAGAAAUACCAAGUCAAAAUAUGUUCAGAACGAGAAAGUGUGAUUCUUGAUGUCAAGAAAGAAAGGUCUAAUUUUCGACACAAGGUAUUAACGACACAUGCUUUAUCUCAGCGCCUAUAAAGUGGAUUCAGGAUUUUUAGAUCUUGGAAUGUGGCAGUUAGUGUCAAUAAAAAGCGGUCUGGUUUCAACACUGAUCCACUCUCAUGCCCGUUGUAUGGAUUUCUGUCUGAUACUUGAUUACUUAAACCUGGAAGCUGCUGGCCUGGAACUUCAAAUGGAGAACUCUUCCAAAGAAAUGCUGCAGGGUGCUGAGAUAACACAAUGUGGAGCUGAAAAAACACAGGAGGCCAGGCAACAUCCAAGAAGGAAAUUUGACGUUUCGAGUUCCCCUACUGCCUCCUCGAUCAUGACCCAACCCCAGAGGACCAAAACAUCAUCUCUCAAACCAUUCACAACCUCAUCACCUCAGGUGACCUCCCUCCCACAGCUUUCAACCCCAGUGAUCCCCAACCCUGCACCACCCGCUUCUAUCUCCUUCCCAACCCUCUGCUGCAUGAUUCUGUUGGGUUUUGCAGCAUUAUUUUGCUCUUAUGUAGAGCCGUGUCUCAUUUACUCAUUACAUCUCCUUGUCUACGUGGUAACAGAGUUUUCAACAUCUAAGCCAUACACUUCUAGGUCUUGAAUGUUUAAUUUAGGCUGAAAUCUCAGUGCAUUAAUAAGGGAGUACUACAUUGUCAACUGUGCGUGGCUACGGAUGAGACAUUUAAAAAGCUGCUUGCUGAGAUGCUUAUUAUAAGAUUAUGUUGAAAUACGCAAAUAAGAGCAAAGAAUUUUCCCAGUGUUUGGCUCAAUGUUUGCCUGUGACGCCAACGUAAGACAGAUCAUCUGGUCUGCUACUUCAUUGCCUCUUAGGACCUUGCUAUUUAUAAAUUUUUGCCUACACAACAGUGACUAUUUUAUUGACUGUGAAGUGUCUUGAAAUUCCUCAAGGGCACUAUAGUUACAAGUUUUGUCUUGAUAUAUUUUCUGAUGUUAUAGAUUGUAUAAACAUGAAAGUGAUUGGUGAGGUUAGUGCUGAUUCAUAGCUUUUUCAAAGCUUUCCUAGCCUACAAGCUAAUUGCCAUUGUGAAGAUACUCAAGUUUUGAAAUGAUGUAUGGUUGAGUUAUCAAGCAUUGUUUGCUUUCAUUGAGAGGUAAAAUUUUUCUUUGUGGUAAUUAUUUUAUGUAUGCUGAGAGACAAUUGCAUUGCUAAUUUUAGGAGAAAAUAAAACAUAGGAACUGAAACUCAACUUCUGCAGCGCUAAAAUUCUUCUAGGUGACACAUUGUGAAGCAAGUUAUCAAUCCUGCAGAGGGAGUUCUUGAGUUCUUUUUAAUGUGCAUUGAUCGUAUA